UCUGAUUCCAUCUGGUUCAAAUCCAUUUUUAAUGAAUAUGGAUUUAAUCAUUUUGGCCAAGUUUCACUUCCAAAAUCAAUCGGUUAACUUCCAAUUCCAAACCAUACCAUAACCGGGUCUAUCCCAUUCCCAUCCAAAUCAACAUAAUGACCGGUGUAAUGGUGCUGAAAUUAGAUUGGCCAUUCACGAAAUCAACCCCUAAAAUCAGAAUAUCAGCAAAUGGCAGCUAAGCCCCUAAAUCUAAUUUAAUCACCUCCACAUGCUCAAUGCAGCCACCAGUCAGGUGAACAUUAUACGCCAAUGACUUAUUCUUUGGGGAAAAACACAAGAUAUCAACGAGGUCAUAUCUUGCAGAACAACUAUGCGAACAGAAAUUUAUCCAGUUUCAAUAGCAACUCGGUAAAAAUAAAGACAAAUUUUGACAAUACUGAAUGAUUGAGAUAUGAAAAUGUCAUUUAACUUCUUUUCAAUGAUAAAAUUGAAGUGAGAAAAAGAAAUAGUACAUAACAGCAAGACCAUCACCAGUUUCUACAAUUUCGAAUGAAGCUCAAAACUACUAUCAUGUCCUAAACUCAAAAGCAGAAAAAAAAUAUAACAGGCCUUGAUCAUUUUUAGCCAUAUCAUCUGAGUCU
rnacentral:lncRNA from 1 species